UACGUAGGGUGCGAGCGUUAAUCGGAAUUAUUGGGCGUAAAGCGUGCGUAGGCGGUCUCUCGAGUCCGAUGUGAAAUCCCCGGGCUCAACCUGGGACCUGCGUUGGAAACUACGAGGCUGGAGUACGGCAGAGGGGGGUGGAAUUCCACGUGUAGCAGUGAAAUGCGUAGAGAUGUGGAAGAACACCGAUGGCGAAGGCAGCCCCCUGGGAUAACACUGACGCUCAGGCUCGAAAGCGUGGGGAGCAAACAGG
rnacentral:rRNA from 1 species